rnacentral:lncRNA from 1 species
AUUUCAUUUCAUCUCAUAUUUUUGAUAUCAUUUUUCAUCUCAUUUCAUCUCAAUUCAUCUCAUCAUUUCAUCUCCUCAUCUCAUCAUUUCCUCCUUUCAUUACAACAUUUCAUCUCAUUUCUUCUCAUCUCAUUUCAAUUUCAUUAUUUCAUCUCAUUUCAUUAUUUCACCUAAUUUCAUUAUUUCAUCUCAUCUCAUCUCAGUUCAUCUGAUCUCAUUUCAUCUCAGCAUUUCAUCUCAUCAUUUUUCAUCUCAUCAUUUCAUCUCCUCAUCUCAUCAUUUCCUCCUUUCAUUACAACAUUUCAUCUCAUUUCUUCUCAUCUCAUUUCAAUUUCAUUAUUUCAUCUCAUUUCAUUAUUUCACCUAAUUUCAUUAUUUCAUCUCAUCUCAUCUCAGUUCAUCUGAUCUCAUUUCAUCUCAG